AACGAACGCUGGCGGCAGGCUUAACACAUGCAAGUCGAACGCACCGCAAGGUGAGUGGCAGACGGGUGAGUAACACGUGGGGAUCUGCCCAAUGGUACGGAAUAGCUCCGGGAAACUGGAAUUAAUACCGUAUGUGCCCUUCGGGGGAAAGAUUUAUCGCCAUUGGAUGAACCCGCGUCGGAUUAGCUAGUUGGUGGGGUAAAGGCCCACCAAGGCGACGAUCCGUAGCUGGUCUGAGAGGAUGAUCAGCCACACUGGGACUGAGACACGGCCCAGACGCCGACGGGAGGCAGCAGUGGGGAAUAUUGGACAAGGGGCGCAAGCCUGAUCCAGCCAUGCCGCGUGAGUGAUGAAGGCCUUAGGGUUGUAAAGCUCUUUCGCCGACGAAGAUAAUGACGGUAGUCGGAGAAGAAGCCCCGGCUAACUUCGUGCCAGCCGCCGCAGUAAUAC
rnacentral:rRNA from 1 species